rnacentral:rRNA from 1 species
UACGAAGGGUGCAAGCGUUACUCGGGAUUACUGGGCGUAAAGCGUGCGUAGGUGGUUCGUUAAGUUGGAUGUGAAAUCCCCGGGCUCAACCUGGGAACCGCAUUCAAAACUGUCGAGCUAGAGUAUGGUAGAGGGUGGUGGAAUUUCCUGUGUAGCGGUGUAAUGCGUAGAUAUAGGAAGGAACACCAGUGGCGAAGGCGACCACCUGGACUGAUACUGACACUGAGGUGCGAAAGCGUGGGGAGCAAACAGG